rnacentral:rRNA from 1 species
UCCAUGAGUAAAGUGGCGCACGGGUGAGUAACACGUGACUAACCUACCCUUGAGUGGGGGAUAACUGGGAGAAAUCCUAGCUAAUACCGCAUAAUACCUACGGGUCAAAGGAGCAAUUCGCUCGAGGAGGGGGUCGCGGUCGAUUAGUUAGUUGGCGGGGUAAUGGCCCACCAAGACUGUGAUCGAUAUCCGGCCUGAGAGGGCGCACGGACACACUGGAACUGAAACACGGUCCAGACUCCUACGGGAGGCAGCAGUGGGGAAUUUUGCGCAAUGGGGGAAACCCUGACGCAGCAACGCCGCGUGGAGGAUGAAGUACUUCGGUACGUAAACUCCUUUCGAUCGGGACGAUUAUGACGGUACCGAGAGAAGAAGCCCCGGCUAACUUCGUGCCAGCAGCCGCGGUAAUACGAGGGGGGCGAGCGUUGUUCGGAAUUAUUGGGCGUAAAGGGUGCGUAGGCGGUUUGGUAAGUCUUGUGUGAAAUCUACAGGCUCAACUUGUAGUCUGCACGAGAAACUGCCGGGCUUGAGUAUGGGAGAGGUGAGUGGAAUUCCUGGUGUAGCGGUGAAAUGCGUAGAUAUCAGGAGGAACACCUGUGGCGAAAGCGGCUCACUGGACCAUAACUGACGCUGAUGCACGAAAGCUAGGGGAGCAAACAGGAUUAGAUACCCUGGUAGUCCUAG